UACGGGAGGCAGCAGUGGGGAAUAUUGCACAAUGGGCGCAAGCCUGAUGCAGCCAUGCCGCGUGUAUGAAGAAGGCCUUCGGGUUGUAAAGUACUUUCAGUCGUGAGGAAGGUGUUAAGGUUAAUAACCUUAGCAAUUGACGUUAGCGACAGAAGAAGCACCGGCUAACUCCGUGCCAGCAGCCGCGGUAAUACGGAGGGUGCGAGCGUUAAUCGGAAUUACUGGGCGUAAAGGGCACGCAGGCGGUUAAUUAAGUUGGAUGUGAAAUCCCCGGGCUUAACCUGGGAAUGGCAUUCAAGACUGGUUAGCUAGAGUCUUGUAGAGGGGGUAGAAUUCCAUGUGUAGCGGUGAAAUGCGUAGAGAUGUGGAGGAAUACCGGUGGCGAAGGCGGCCCCCUGGACAAAGACUGACGCUCAUGUGCGAAAGCGUGGGGAGCAAACAGGAUUAGAUACC
rnacentral:rRNA from 1 species